ensembl:lncRNA
GAAGAAAAGAAAGGGAAAAACAAAAAAGACACACCACCUGAUUUCAGGCACUGAAUUUAGGAAGCUUAUCUUGUUAGGCUUCUGUAGUAGAGGAGGCAAGGGCCAGAGGUGUGCUUCUAAGCCAUUGGCUGCUCUAAAUCACCCUCUGGGAAAACCUACUUUCUUUUGUUGUAAGGAAAGCUCAGGGGAAUGAACCAUCCAGGUCGGGUGGGUAAGUGUGCUAACAUGAAUACACCUCAGGUGGUUUUAUUUGGAGAAGAGAAACAGGAGGAUUAUAACCAUCUGAUUAGGGAAAAGAAAGCCUCCACUUUUUGUUUGCUGAUUGUGUGCAAGUGUGCAGUCAGUUUUGCUGACGUUCAUACAUGAGAGAUUCUGAAACAUGGGAGUAAUUUGAUGCAUACGCUUUGCUUGCUACAGUAAAUUACAGCCUUUCCUUGCCCAGGAGCUGAGCUAUAGUUUUUCUUCUGUUUCACAGUGUGAUACGUUGCCUUAAUUGCACCAUCUAUUGUGACAUUUUUGAUGCUUUUCAUUUUUGUCUUUCAUUGUGGGUGCUCCAACACGAGUAAAUGACACUACAGCAUUCAGAAAGCUUGUCAGGCUGUGUUCAGGUCAGCACUUCGUCAGUGACUGCUGUGAAAAAUAGUCAAUGAACAUCAAAGUUGUAGGACCUUGAAAAGGCAGUCAGGAGGAGCAGCCUGGAAAUCUGCAGAACAGAAGCACCUAAAGAGUGAGGCACAACAUGUGUUUUACUGGGCCUCCACCUCUUGCUUGGAUCCUUCUAGGUGGCUGUCAGGCAGACACCGAGCCAAGCUGAUGGCUUUCUGCUUGCAGAGGGAACAGCUCACAGGUAGCCUUACAGAUUCAGCAGGUAAGUGAGUUCAAGCUCACCACAUGUGAAAAAUAAACAAGGACAUUCUUUCCCAUGAUGGCAUCCUUUUUGUAGCAAAAGGAGUUGUGGAGGAGGGGAAAUGGCUGAUGAGCCAAUAGAUGUCAUUUCUCUGUGGUUAGGCUGAUUAUUUUUCUGUCCCAUGGAUAGCAAGCCAACAGCAGUUGCAUGAUGUAUAUUGCAUCCAAGGGAUAAAGUAGGCCUACUAGCUGAACUAGGACAAAAGAUAUCCUUCGGGCAGAUCUAGUAGCCAGUACCACAGUGAGUUUCUACUACACACUCUGUUCCCUGGAUUUACUGCUCACUGAAUGGAAAUGUAGAAAUGAGCAGAUUAGCUUCCUCUCUGUAAAGAAAGAGAGGCACUUUAGAAAGCAAGGUAGAUAUUUCAGAUUAUUUGCAGGCACAGCCAAGGAAUCAGGAACACUAAGUAAGUGACCAUGUGCAAAAGGAUUAUUCCAAUGCAAUGUCCUAGGGUAAAGGCAAAGCAAAGCUACUUGAGCUUAGAUGCAGGCUCCCACAGAAGGGCUGUUUUCUACUGUAGGAAUGAGUCACAGCAGCUGAAUAAUAAAGACUGUCCUAAAAGACAGCCUCAGACAUCAAGCUCCUGCUUAUUACACCUCAGAACAGCAGCUCACUGGGCUUUGUAAGAGCAUCAUUCUCCUAUCUCACAAAGCAGGGAGAUCACAAAAACUCCCCUUUACCUUACAGGACAUAGUGCUGGAGACUGUGGGUCCAGCCUCAGCUCAGGGAAAGAUGUUUCCUAUAUCCCAUCUGACUCUGCCAAGCAUUUGGUUACUAACGUGAUCUGUGAGAGCAUCUCCUUUCCUCAUUGCUGGCAAGAGCUUUUGUAAGUGGAGUUCCUCUAAGAGAGUUUAUUUUGAUGAAGUUGGAGUGUAUGUUUAUGUUUUUCUUUGGCGGAAACUACUUGUAGAUGUCCUGGGGUUUCAAGAUAACUGAAAUUGCCUUUUUAAUAGCUAGACUAUUUGCUCAACGUCCGCGUUGCUGUUUUGGUUAAAUCUGGGAUAGAGUUAAAUUUCUUCCUAGUAGCUGGUGUGGUGCUGAGUUUUGGAUUCAGAAUGAGGAUAGUGUUGAUCACGCAUCAAUAUUUCAGUUGUUGCUGAGCAGUGUUUACACUAAUUCAAGGACUUUUCUAUUUUUUGCACUGCUCUGUCAGCGAGAGGGCUGGGAAUGGGCACAAGAAGCUGGGAGGGGACAGAACCAGGACAGCCAUUCUAAACUGGCCAAAGGGAUAUUCCAUACCAGAUGGUGUCGUGCUGAACAACAAAACGGGAAGGAGUUGGCUGGGGGUUGGCCACUGGUCAGAGUUUGGGCUGGGCAUCAGGUAGUGGGUGGUGGACAACUGGGAUAUGCGUCACUUGCUUUGUUUAUAGUUUUAUCGUCAUUACUAUUUCCUCUUCUUUUCCUGUCCUAUUAUACUAUCUUUAUCUCACACGGCGAGGUGUACUGGUUCCUGCUACUUCUGGAAGCAAGGUUACCCAGUAAAGCUGAUACCGUUCUGCCAGUUCUCUCAUAGCUGCAAGAUUGUCUACCAUGCUUUGAACUCAGGAAAUCUUGUUUUUGAAACAUGCAACUCAGCAGUCAUGGAAGAGAGAAAGCUGUGGAAGAGGAAUAGAGGAGGGCUGCCCACCUCCUCCUUCAGAUGGGAAAGUCCUCACAGUUGUUUUCCCGCCAACCACGUCUGAACAUUGGAAACUGCCCCAAGUUUCUGCGUGAGUUGAUGAGAAGAUGUGCUUUGGGCUGAUGCUAAUAAUUUUGAUUUCUGGGACUGGAAAUAAAGACAAAAAGGCACCUUAAUUCUAUCCACUAAAUCUUCUCAGAGGAAUUCUCUUGGCCUCUUCUGUUACAAGCAUCAUCCUUUGGUUUUCUCUUCAAAACUAUUUUAUAUACUGGGAGUCGUCAUCCCGGGAGGCAUGAACAAGAAUCUGGUGACAGGAGCAUCAUGAAGUUCAAGACUUCAAAUGUGAAGUCCUGCACCCUGUAAAUAGUGACACCAUGCAACAGUACAAACUGGGGACAGGCUGACUAGAAACUAGCUUUACAUAAGAGGACCUAGAGGUCCUGAUGGACAUCGAGCUGAAUGUGAGUCAAGAAUGUGCCACUGCGUGAAUGAGAGCCAAGCACAAAAGACACUGGGCUGCAUUAGUAACAGCAGAGGCAGUGGGUUGAGAUAGCCAGCAGAGGUGAAUAUUGCACCCCUCUGAGGAGAAGAAAAUCCCCCAGGCAAGCAGAGAGCAAGAUUGACAUUUCUCAUUAUUUCUGUACUCCAGGUAAUAUAUAUAAACUUUUUUUUUUUUUUUCCCUGGGAGCCCUUCAAACCAAGCAAAUGAAGACAUUUCUUCUGUACAGUCAACGACACUCCAAAAGGUCUGAUCUGCUCUCUGAAAUUUCCCCUGAUUUUGCUGUGGCCCUCAGGCUGUAACUCAGUGAUCUCGGCACACAACGUGGCUAUCCCAAAAUCUCAAGUUUUGCUUUGACCAAGUAUUUACCAUAACGAAUAGAAACUAUUCCUUGAACAACAACGUCUUUUACCACUUGCAAAUCUCCAUCUAAUCUGACUGUCCUUAUCUAUAAGCGGAGAGAAUGAAAAGCAGAGAUAUAAAACCCAAAGGUUAAGUACAUAUUUUUUGCAACUGUUUAAUGUUCAGCAUUCUCAUGUUGUGAAGAACAUGCAAAGUUUCUGCAUUCUUUCUAUUGGGUGCAUUCGUCACCAAAGCAGACUUGCUAUCGGUUUGGGAUGUAAACUGACCUGUGUCACUGCAAUUUGCCUGUUUUCAUGUGUGUGUUUGGUUUGCUUUUGGCAUACAGGCACUUACGGCUGAUCCAAAGUCAUUCAAAAGCUCAGCAGAUGCUUCUGUGAAUCUCUUCUAUGUUUAGAAAUGGAAAUGAAGCACGAAACCAGGUGCUUUCUGUGCUGUCCUGAAUUAUGGAUUUUAUCCUUCAUGUUGUAACACAGUUUACUUGUCUUCUGGUUUAUCAUUUUUGAAGAAGGUAUGAGGUAAAAUACCAAGAUCUCCCUGACAGAGUCUUGUAGGACUCCAGGAACUGCUGUCUUCUGUACGGGUCCUCUCCAAUUCAACAGCACCCUUUCAGCUGACAUCAAAAGGGGUGAGUGAGGGCUGUGUGGAGUACAAGGAGCCAACACUGCUAAUAAGACAGAAAUUUGCCACUGAUUUUGUGAAAUUCUCUGUACUGGAUUAUACAGGAGAUCAGAAAAGAAGAUUUUCAGAGUCUCUUCCUCUAACUCUUGCAACUUACUCUUGGGAACUGGUAUUAUCAGGUGAGUAUGGACUGGAUGAUCUCCAGAGGUCCCUUCCAACCACUGCGAUUCUGUGAUUCUGAUUCUAAUCUCACAAAGAACAUGGGACUAAUAUUUCUAAGUUUAAGAAUCAGAGGGUUUUUUCAAACCAUUUUAGGAGGAGGCAAGAAACACUUUGGUUUAGCUUUCUGGUCUGAAAAUAUCAAUAGUUUGUUGCAUUUUUGAAAAGAGCCACAGGAAUCAUAGAUCAAAGAACCAUAGAACGGCUUGAGUUGGAAGAGACCACAAAGCCCACACAGCCCCAACCCUCUGCCAUGGGCAGGGCUGCCCCCCACCAGCUCAGGCUGCCCAGGACCCCAUCCAACCUGGCCCUGAGUGCCUCCAGGGAUGGGGCACCCACAGCUUCUCUGGGCAGCUGUGCCAGGGCCUCACCGCCCUCUGAGUAAAGAUUUUCUGCCUAACAUCUAACCCAAAUCUCCCCACUUUUAGUUUAAAGCCAUUUUCCCUUGUCCUAUCGCUAUUAGACUGUGUGAGAUGUUGGUUCUCCUCCUGUUUAUAAACUCCUCUCAAGUACUGGAAGGCCACAGAGAGGUGUCCCCGGAGCCUUCUCUUCUCCAGGCUGAACAAGCCCAGCUCCCUCAGCCUUUCUUCACAGGAGAGGUGCUCCAGCCCUCUGAGCAUCUUCGUGGCCCUCAUCUAGACAUUCUCCAACAGCUCCACAUCUUUCUUGUGCUGGAGGCCCCAGGUCUGAAUGCAGUACUGGGCCUCAUGAAGGCAGAGCAGAGGGGAAUAAUCACCUUCCUCUCCCUGCUGGCCACCCCUCUGUUGAUGCUGACCAGGAUAUUGUUGGCCUUCUGGGCUGCAAGAGCACACUGGUGGCUCAUGUCAAGCCUUUUAUCUAUCAGAGACUGCGGGUCCUCCUCCGCAGGGCUGCCCUCAAUGAGUUCUUCUCCCAGUCUGUACAUGUAUCAGGAAUUACCCUGACCUGAGUGCAACACUUUGGUCAAGCCAUUGCUCUCAUGGCUACAGGUUUGUUGUUUAGACACAAUAAUGUACAGAUGGGCUUUGCAUUUAUCAAGAAUAAUCACCAGCUGAGAUGCUGAGUGGAGGAAAACUAUUAUCGUCGUGACUGAACAGAGUCUGGCAGCAUUCUUUGUUGUUUGUGGCUUAUUCUUGAAAUUAGAUUUCAGAGACUAAACUGACCUCUCUGUAAGCUGAGCUCAGAAGAUGAAGGCCAAUAAUGGGAGAAGGAGCACAUCUCAAGGCAAAAGGUUUAACCGUCUGCCUCUUGGUAACCUGCAGGAAAUCCACCAAACAUCAUUUCAUUUGCAGCGAUUAAAGGUGAACAAUAUAGCUCUGUGUAGGAUUUCUUGUAUUUGAGACACAUUUAGUUAAUUAUUACCUCUUCAUUUAUUUUCUACUCUAGAAUAAGUCUUGCUGUGGGAAGCGGGGUGUAGGAAACACGAGGUGGUGCUUUUCAGCGACAAACCUUCAACUAUGGCAUUGUUUUUCAUACUUGCAAUAUUCAGCCACAGUAUCCACAAGGGAGGUACCACAAUUGCAAAAUGCUAUUUAAAAUAAUGGCGUGUUUUAGAAGAGCUUCCAAUGUCUCUCAUAAUAUUUGCAGAUAAUCUCAGUUUGCCAAUCUGUGAAGUAAUUAUUCUCCAUCUGUGAUAUCCAGUGAUAACCAGUUAGACUUUCAAAUUCAUUUUUACCAACAUUGGUGAGCUCAUCACUCGCCUGUUGAAAGAACAGAACACAAACAUUAAAACAGUGUAAAGGCAAUGUAUUUAUUAUUGUAGCAUGCAGUCAAACCUGCAUAAUAACUACUAAUUAAAGUGUUAAGGCCUUAAUUUUAGAAAGACAGAGAGGCUUUCUGCUUUUGUACAGUACCAUACACACAUCAUUUUUAUGCUUUGCUUUCUGUGAUUAGUGACCAAGGCCUGGCAUGAGACAAUUUUACUUAAUCAGCUAUAUGCAUUAAAUACCAGCAGCUGCAAUUAGACAUUCUUUUGUAUCACAUACUACGCCUCACGCUGCUAUUUGCUCCUGACCUUGGCAGGCACUUCUGCUGUGUUUGGAGAGGAGCACAGUGAAAUUCAGAAUUCUUUUUUUCACAGCCUGGAUGUUGGCAGAUGUGCACACACAUUCUUGCCCCACAGACCAAACAGAGCAACUUCAGAAGUGCAGCAGGAGUUCCUUUAAAACAGACUGGGAAGGAAAGGUGGGAAUGAACGAAACCUCUACCCCGUGCCUUAACACUUUUGAGUACGAUGUUGGUUUGCAAUGCUUACGUAUCACUUUGGACAUUACACAUUGGCACUGAGUACCUAAAACAAGAGACUUGAGCUUUCCAUUUGCUUUGCACAUCUGUUUUGUCGGGUCCUGUGCUCGUAGCAUCAUUUUUUCCCAGCUGCAGUAUCACAACUGGACACUAGAGAGCUCCUUUUACCAAAGACAUCUCUCCAACGUGAGGGCAGAGCCCUGUGAGGUUUUGCAGAGAAACACUCAUUAUUCUUGCAACAGAAUCUAGGGAAGCUCUGUCUCAGCAUACAUGACCUCUGCUGUACAAAGAAAAAGGUUGCGUUGUGCCUGAGGAACAAAGCUCUGGAAUUAAGUCUAUAACAGCUAAGAUAUGCUGGGCCACGGAGCAUCUUUGCAAGUCUCUAAACAGCCCACAGGAAAAUCUCAGAAGGACCCUGUGAGUGGCAGUUAUGUAAGAUGAAACUUGAGCCAAGCCAUUGGGUCCCAUAUUCCAGGGACGGGAGAAAAUGGCAGGUGUGAUGAGCUGGGGCUGUCUGCGUUCAUGGAGUUUCUGUGCUGUCUGGAGUUUCCUCACUUGGAAGGUUUCAUAUGUUGAUGUUUUGCAUUGCUCUGGACACAACGAAAAGUAGGAAAGCACAAACAAGUGAACCCAGAGCAUCAUAAAGCAGCCUAGAACUAAAUUUUUGGUCUAGUGGAGGUGACAGAAGACACCACUGAGAGGUUUCACUGAGCUUUAGUGACAGUGAGCACCCUGGAAAUGCUUGCAAAUUGGCUGGGUUUGAUGCCUGCUUCUUCCAGGCUGCAAAAGCUGUCCUGAAAUCUUCCAGAGUCCCACUGCAGGGACCCUAGGAGUGCUUCAGCGGAAUUGCAGAUGACUUCUGGCUUUGGCCCGAAGCCAUGGGAAAUGAGAAGAUCCAGAAUUAGGCAAAACUCAGUAUUUUCUUUCUAAUUGUUUAUAAAUACAGGUUAUAUGUUCCUAUCAGCUGAGAAGGAAGCUAGAGUGGCAUCAGGCUAGAGAAUGGAGUGCAGGUGUGCAUAAAGAAACAUAGAGAACUCACCUCCUUGGAGAGAAGAUGUGAUCCCAGAGCCUGGGAGGAAGGAGCCCUGUGGCACCCACUAACAGGACAAAGUGCUAUGUGAGCUGAAACAGGACAGAGGGGAUUUUACUUGAAACAAAACAGGGUUUACACAUUCACAUACCUUCAUGCUUCCAAACACCAAAAUGGAUGGGUCCAGGUGCUCUGGCCCAGGUGACUUGUGGUGGUGAAGAUGGAAAGGGACAUCUGUAGGCAUCUCAACAUGUCGCCUAGGUUCUCCACGGACUGGAAGCCAAGUGCUUGCUCUUGGAUCUCCUAAGAGUUGACAGUGUGAUCUUUUGUUUCCUCAUCCUGUUCCACCCCUGGCUUAGUAUUUGCUUUUCUGUCCUUAUGUGGGUGUUUUAUGGCUCCUUGCCUGCUUUUUUCUUCCUUUCAUCACUUCUUGAGGGCUCUGGUUUAUUAGCCUGUCCUUCAUUUUGCUCGCUGUGUAGACUGUCUUUGGUUUUAGGAGGUUCUGGUUAGUCUCACACAGACCCGUUGUCACCUUGAUGACCUGCUGGCUGAGGUGCCAUCUGCACCUACCAUUCCGCUCUUCUCUCUGGCAUUCCCACACUUAGGUAAUCACUUUCAUUCAGAAAGUUCUUUAUAUUUUUAUUAAAAAUUCCUCACGCUUUGCAACAUAUGUUAUCUGUCUACAG